UACGGAGGAUGCAAGCGUUAUCCGGAUUCACUGGGUUUAAAGGGUGUGUAGGCGGAGCGAUAAGUCAGUGGUAAAAGCCGUCCGCUUAACGGACGAACGUCCAUUGAUACUGUCGUUCUUGAGUGCAAUUGAAGUGGGCGGAAUGUGGCAUGUAGCGGUGAAAUGCUUAGAUAUGCCGCAGAACACCUAUUGCGAAAGCAGCUCACUAAACUGUCACUGACGCUGAAACACGAAAGCGUGGGGAGCAAACAGG
rnacentral:rRNA from 1 species